AGUACAUGCAAACGGGUAUCCAUACCCGACUUUAUUCCUUUAUAAAAGAAGUUUACAACCCAUAGGGCAGUCAUCCUUCACGCUACUUGGCUGGUUCAGGCUCUCGCCCAUUGACCAAUAUUCCUCA
rnacentral:rRNA from 1 species